CCAUGCCACUAGUGGUGAAUCUCAGCUUGGAGAACUCUGUGAGGCCGUGUGCCUCAAGACACACAUGACUGGGGAGCAAAACCCUGACACAGAGAAGUGUUCACCAGGGGGGGAAAAUAAGAUAGCUGAAAGCAGAGGAAGCCCAAGUCAAUUGCAGGUCCAGAUUUCAAGUUUCCAAACACAUCACCAUCAGAAAGAAACGCUGGUUGCUAAAUAGUCUUACGUGUGACCAUCUCAACGCUUCCUGUGUGUGUCAGAAAAUCGUUGAUCCUGAGAGAGCAUGAAACACCAGAGAACAACGCAUUAUUUUCAGAAUUCUUGUAACCACAAAAUGUUUUAACAGUUUACAUUUUCGAGAGUAAACUGCCUGGAGUGAUUUUC
rnacentral:lncRNA from 1 species